rnacentral:rRNA from 1 species
UACGAAGGGGGCUAGCGUUGCUCGGAAUCACUGGGCGUAAAGGGUGCGUAGGCGGGUCUUUAAGUCAGGGGUGAAAUCCUGGAGCUCAACUCCAGAACUGCCUUUGAUACUGAGGAUCUUGAGUUCGGGAGAGGUGAGUGGAACUGCGAGUGUAGAGGUGAAAUUCGUAGAUAUUCGCAAGAACACCAGUGGCGAAGGCGCUCACUGGCCCGAUACUGACGCUGAGGCACGAAAGCGUGGGGAGCAAACAGGG